GCCCCUUUCUAUAAUCAACUUAAAGUAGCAGAAACACAAAAGAAAGUCAACCCUACUACUGGAUUGUGGAGACAGAUCUGGGACUCAGAAUUGAGAUGGUGCUGCUUUUCCACUACCAUCAGCGUGGGCUGUGGUCCAUCUAGUAAAUUUAUGUCCAUGCUCACGCUAUGCAAGGUGUCAACAAGAGCAGAAGAGAAGACACUAAAAAGAUGGUGAAGCAAGUACAUGAAGCAGGUAGGAAUAAAUAACUAUAUCAACUAUAUACAACAUAUAGUUGACCAACAUGUCAACUAUAAACAGCUGGCUAAGUGAGGCCAUUAAGUUCAAAAGGCACUCAAGACUCAACCAGUAGCUCUUCAAUUCCCAAGACUGGAUUAGAGAAGUAUCCCUGCUGUCCACUCAUCAGCCGCCACAAACUCUUUUCAGAGGAGAAAAAACAUCCAGAGGCAGAGAAUUAGUAGGAAGGAAGCCAUGGAGAGUGUAAAAUGCUAGAAGGAUACCCUACAUAUUGAAGCUGCUUUCUUUAGUAAACUUAGUUGUGGUAGCUAAGUUCUUUCUAGAAGUAAACGUGUCGUAUGCACUUUGAAUCAGGACAAUGGGAGGGAGGAAAUUUACUCAGACUCUGCUGCUUUUUCUACACUCUUCUUUCUAGAUGAAGCUGAUGAACAAACAGAAACCUCUAACUCCUCAAAGAUCUUCUGUGAAUCCUCAUAGCCAUGUGUGGGGAGGAAAACUAUUUGGCAUCUGUUCCAAUUCAGUGUUGGAAACAACACUUUCAAACACCAUUUUUAUGUGUUCGUGUACUUGCUACUGUGAAAAACAACUUUAGAAGACACAGUCCUUCAUUUUAUGAAUUUUAUUAUGGUUUACUGUAAUAAUAAUGUUGGGGUCUUAGGGGGAUUGAUACCUAGCUUCCAUCUCCUUCCUACCUGAAUUCUCGACCAGAAUUGGGAGAUAAAUCCAAGAGUUUGGCAGAGGUCAAAUUACCGCUUUUGCUACUGAUAAACUGGACAAUGUGAGUUUAGAUCUACAGCUAAAAGGGCUUGUAAUAGUAUAUUCCAGAAUUAACCAGACAUGCCCAUCGUUUCCUGAGAAAACUGGGCAUCUGCCGGGCUGCCCAGAAGGGGCAAGCCCCAGAAGCCUAGUGGAGCACAGACCAGGUAAUGUGAUGAGCCGAUCCAGAAGGGCUCUGAGGCCCCUGGGUCUAGUCUCUCCUUCCCUGGGCAGGAGUAAGGGACGGGCAGAGAGAGGCCAGAAGUGUUCAUCCUAAAUUCCUCCACAUGAAAUUAUGAUGCCUGAAGGAAAGGAGGCCUCACAACAGGAAUAAUAAUCCUAUUUCUAUAGUAAUUUCAUAUUCCUAUUGAUUAUCACCAUUUGUAGAGGGAAGAAGGUCAUAGCAGCUAAAAAAGCCUGACUUUUGAGAGGAAAACAGAAAUGGCACUUUAUGUAUAUAAAACAGAGUUACUUCUUUUCAAGGCCCUUUUUUCAACUCACUAAUUUUUUUUCUAAUAAUUGACCAUUUUUGCAUUCUUGUGUUAGGUCCUGACCAUAUUCCUUUUCUUGCUGCGAUUACCUUAAAAUUCAUAAGAAGUUUCUUGAGUUUUAUUUUCAGAAUUUGACAUUGCAGUUUACAGUGGUAAUAUGUUUGAUAACAUUUGCAAUCUCUAUACCUAGAUCUCCUCUAACUCACAAGGAAGGCAGUUUGUCAUAUUCAUGAUGUUCUUUUUAAAUUUAGGAGCUCCGUUUCCUUUUGUUGUCUUUCCCAUAUG
rnacentral:lncRNA from 1 species